UACGGGGGGGGCGAGCGUUAUUCGGAAUUAUUGGGCGUAAAGGGCGUGUAGGCGGCUUCGCGUGUCCUCUGUGAAAGCCCUCGGCUCAACCGAGGAACUGCAGGGGAAACUGUGAGGCUUGAGUCCGGGAGAGGAGAGCGGAAUUCCCAGUGUAGCGGUGAAAUGCGUAGAUAUUGGGAGGAACACCAGUGGCGAAGGCGGCUCUCUGGACCGGUACUGACGCUAAAGCGCGAAAGCUAGGGGAGCAAACGGG
rnacentral:rRNA from 1 species